rnacentral:rRNA from 1 species
UACGUAGGGGGCGAGCGUUGUCCGGAGUACUGGGCGUAAAGCGCACGCAGGCGGUCUGCUAAGUUUGGAGUGACAGUUGGUGGCUUAACUGCCAAAGUGCUUCGAAAACUGACAGACUUGAGGGCUUCAGAGGGACACGGAAUUCCGGGUGGAGUGGUGAAAUGCGUAGAGAUCCGGAGGAACACCAAAGGCGAAAGCACUCUGCUGGGCCGACACUGACACUGAGAGACGAAAGCUAGGGGAGCGAAUGGG